GUCGUUUGUGGACCUUAUGAGUGUGUAGGUAGGUAGCAGCUGGCCAGCAGUUCUCCGUCAAUCUAUGGUAUGUUAAUGAUGGUGAUGGCCGUUGAACAAGUAGCUACCCACUGCCGACGAAGUCUAAUGUCAAAAAAAGUACAUAGCGACGGAGUCCUGGUAUCGCGGUCUUAAUUUCAAUACCAUACACAGCACAGUAAAUCGGCCAAACAAGCGUCUACUUCGCAAAGGUCCCCCACACAGCCACACUGCAACGGUGCCGAUAUAGCAUUAAAAUGGGACACAAUUUUACCGCCACUGUUGCAGUACGUUUGUAUAAUAAACGUUUUUGUAUUCA